AUGGCUCGGAACAAAGAACAUAAGCAGCGCUUCGCGUCAAAGCACGCACUGGCUGACAAAUCCAAGGGCCGGCAACUGCAGAGCAAGCAGUGCAACGUAAAGGCUGGGACUUCCGCUCACAACAAGGAGCGUUCAAAGCAGAUAGCUGCUGCAAUACGUGACAAGCGUGCCCGUGCAGCUCUGGAGCAGCGGCGCCUGGGGAGCGCUGACGGAAUACCUCGUAUUGUCGGCAUUGUUCCCGCCAACGAGUCCGGAAACACGGAAGAAAUUCUUCAGGGAUUCUGCAAGAGCCUGCAUGCGGAUUUUCCAGGUGGCGAUCAACCGUUCAGUGUUGUGUCAAAGGAAAGGAAAGUGGCUUUCACAUUUGUCUGCGAAAAGAACUGCAACGAUCAGGACUGCAUCGACGUCGCGAAAGUGAGUGAUUUUAUGGUGCUUACACUGGACUGUUCACAGGCUGUACAAAAUACUAUCCGUGAGCUUCAAGAUACCCGCGCUUUCACGGGUGAAGACGGAGCAGAGACGAUUGCGACAACUUGGUUCAGCGACAUUGGUCUGUGCAUCACCGACUACACGCGCGAUCUCGUUGCGGCCAUCAACUCUCAGGGUACCCCAAGCGUUGUCGUCAUAAUUCAGAACCUGCACACCUUCGCCGACCGCCAACGACAGAAGGUGCUGAAGAUCCACCAGCGCUAUUUCAACUCUGUUCUGAGUGACACAACGAAAGUCAUGCCCGCGGUCAGCCAAGACGACUACACCAACAUUCUACGCCACAUGCAGGUGUCGAAAAUCCGGACCCUGAAAUGGAGAGAUCAACAUCCAUACAUGGCAGUGGAGGAGAAGGCUUACAAUCCUGAAACCCAGGAGCUUACAAUCACGGGCCAUUUGCGUGGUAUGCCUCUUUCUGCUACACAGCUUGUGCAUCUAACAAAUCACGGUACUUUUCAAGUUUGCAAGAUCGAGGAAGUGCGGAAGGGCGAUGAGCGAGUGCUCAUUGAGACAUCUGAGGCAGAACAGCGAGAAUCGCUCCAGCAAGUUCAAGCGAAUUCGACUCUCGAGGACGAUGGUUUUCCAACUGACGCCGACGUGCUUUAUCACCAGGAAAUUGCUGGGACUCACAAGAUUCGCGUACCGGCUGGCGUUUCCAGCGAUCAAGCGGCGUGGUACGACACAGAGGAGAACAUCGUGAAGGACAAUGCACCGGUGCAUCAGCACAUUACUAUGGAUGAUGAGGACGCCUUUGCCGGGGAUGCCAUGUCUCACCGCACGACACAAACCGAUGUCGAUUUUCUCAAGGCUGAGGAUGUUGUUCGUCUGGAGCGCAUGACAGACGAGGAGCGGAUACUGGAAAUGGAAAAGCUGAAGGAACUGAGCGAGGAGGAGGCUUGGAAUCCAGAUAUGGUAGAAACUCCUGUUAACAUACCUGCGAGGCAGCGUUUUGCAAAGUACCGUGGAAUGAAGAGUUUCCACACAGGCAGGUGGGAUCCGGCGGAGAACUUGCCUCCACAGUACGCUUACAUCUACAAGCUUCAGGGGUACUCUCGUAUUCGCGAGAGCGCAAUUGACGCAUGCGAAGGAGGCAUGGCUGAGGUAGGCAUGCGCAUCGCCAUCACACUCGUCAACGUCCCUCAAAGCGUUUGGAAUGCCUGUGAACGAUGCCUUCUUAUUGCUUCCGGCCAGCUGCAGCACGAGCAAAAGUGGUCUGUGCUGCACUUCCAGGUUCAGAGGGCGUCGGAGCUCGAUGAGCCUAUCAAGUCCAAAACUCCCAUGCUGGCGCACAUUGGAUUUCGAAAGUUCUACGUCUCGCCGCUCUUCAGCGAUAUCAGCUCAGGCGACCGAUCCAAGUUUUCCCGCUUCUUCCACGAAGGCGACAGGUUCCGUAUGGCGACAUUUUUCGGUCCCAUCAGCUACAACCCGUGUCCGCUGCUGCUCUUCCAGGUACCUUCACUUGAGGAGCAGGCAGAGGGAAAUCCCCUGCGACUAGCAUGCUUUGGCGGUAGCCUUCCUCCCAACCCUGAAACUCUUCUGCUAAAGCGCGCUGUUCUCAGUGGCCGCGUGGCGGUGAUUCACAAAAAGCAGGUCGUUGUCAAGUACAUGUUCUUCAAUGACGAAGAUAUCAAGUGGUUUCAGCCGGUCGACCUUUACACCAAGUUCGGCCGUCGUGGCAAGAUAACCAAACCCGUUGGCACUCAUGGCCUUUUCAAGGCUGUUCUCAACGACCAGAUUAUGCAGCAUGAUGUUGUGUGCAUGGAUCUAUUCAAGCGAGUAUUCCCAAAAUGGACUACGGUUGCGUUCAGCAUGUCUGACAUCCCUGCCGGGCAUACAGAAAACGAGGAGGAAUGCUGA
rnacentral:rRNA from 1 species